AAAGGGAGUUCUGAGUUCCAGUCCUGCAGGGAGCGCCGGGAGGCGCAGAGCGCAGCGAGCUCCCCAGGGCCCUCCAAGCCCUCCGGCCCCUGUCCUGCGAGUGAGCCGGGGGGGCCCCUGGACAGGCCAUGCCCUCUGCCCUUCAGACACGGAGGCCUCCGCUGUGGCUGCCCACUGGCCAGGCACAGGCCUUGAAGCCGUGGCGAACCUCUCUACCCGACCCCACUUCGGUGACUGAUGGCGGCGGCGGUUUCUCCCAGCCCGUACCCCAGCCUAGACCUUGAUGGCCACUGGGUCUCCCGGCCCAGGCCUCGAUGAAGCUCCAGCUGAGCUGCCGGGAUGCAACGCCUUUGGUAGGCGGCGGGAGUGGCGGGCCAGGAAACAUGGCGGCCGCUUGACUGCUGCGCAGCGGAGGCUGUUAGGUCAUGGAGGGCCUGGGAAGGCGGCCUAAGGACGCAGGCAGGCUUGGCCGCCUCUUUAGGCCACGGAGCCUUGCAGGUCCGGGUCCCCAGUGACCACUCUGUCCCCAUUGGGCGAGACCUACCUAGUCCUGACGACAACGGACAAAGGCCUAAACAGGCCUGGGAGGUGAGCGAAGUUCCGAACGGUUAGCGGCCAUCGGGGGGUUAGUCUGCAUUCUACCAGACCUUGCUGACCUUGCUGUCGGAAGAGAGAAAUGGUAGAAUGACAGGCCACUUUUGGCCCGUUGGAAAUGCCCGCCACCCUCUGAGAAGAUUUACUGGCCGUUUAUGGAAGGCCUGUGUAUAUAAUAUGAAAAAGCUGCUCUCAACUCCACCCCGAUCUUUUAAUAGAAAACAUUUGUCACAUCUAGCCCUUCUAGAUGUAACGAGGUUGCCCACAUGUGAUAAAGUAGACUUAGGAAACCACACAUCUUGUAAAUUCUCAUUUGUUUAAAAGAAAUCGUAGAAAAUACAUGUCUUCUGUAAAUGACUUUUGGAAACGGAGUUGUUAGAUGGCCUCUGGAAGCGGAUCUGGUCAUUAAAGGUGUGAAGCACCUCCCCACUCUCUCUCUCUUGCUCCUGCUGUGGCUAUGUGAAGUGCCUGCUUCCUCUUCACCUUCUGCCAUGAUUGUAAGUUUCCUGAAGACUCUCCAGAAGUUGAGAAGAUGCCAGCAUCAUGCUUCCUGUACAGCCCGCAGAAUUGUCACUCUUCUGCCAUACCAUCCUGGACUGGCUAGAGGAGAAAUUACUUGACUGAUGAAGAUAUGGAAGGAGUACUUUGUGAACAUUGGAAGCAGGCCUAAUUGUAGGACCAGCUGGAGAAGAUACCCUAAAAUAAAUUUCAGUCACACAGGAAUUUUAAAAAGAAAAGAAUGCCUUCCUUUCCCAACUUACGGUCUUCUGCUAACUUAUUGUAAUAUCCUCAUGGUCUUAAAACAUCAAACAUGAGAGCCAAAUUAUGUUCAGCGGAGUCUUAGGCAACAACCACAUUAUGUAUAAUAUAGACCAUGAUAUCAUGGCUGACUCAAUAUAAUUACACCCUUGCUCAUAAACCCUAUCUUUCUCUCUAGGUAUUCAAAGCACAUGAUAGACAUGAUCUUGUUGCUUUUCCCAACACAUUUGCCAGGUAGACAGGAAGCAGGUAUCAUUAUUGUCUUCGUCUCAAGUAGAUAAAGAUAGCUUUCCUGGGAACUAUUUGCUCAAAGCCCCAUUGGCAAUAAGAACUACUGGACAGAAAAUGGCUGGAGUCCUAAUUUAAAAAACAGACUUCCUGCUGAGGCAACUUCAGGUCACAAUACUGGGAUAUUUCUAAUUUCAGGGAUUCUUAAAUGGGGGCACAACGGGUUUUUUUCCUUUAUUUGUGGGUGUUUAAUAAAAUCAAGGCA